rnacentral:rRNA from 1 species
UACGAAGGGGGCUAGCGUUGCUCGGAAUCACUGGGCGUAAAGGGCGCGUAGGCGGACAUUCAAGUCGGAGGUGAAAGCCCCGGGCUCAACCUGGGAAUUGCAUUCGAGACUGAAUAGCUAGGGUACGGUAGAGGGAAGCGGAAUUUCCGGUGUAGCGGUGAAAUGCGUAGAUAUCGGAAGGAACAUCAGUGGCGAAAGCGGCUUCCUGGACCAGUACCGACGUUCAGGCACGAAAGCGUGGGGAGCAAACAGG